rnacentral:lncRNA from 1 species
GAUUUUGUUAGACAUAGUUCGAUCCAUGAUGAGGUUUACAAAUCUGUCAGUCUUAUUUUAGGGUUAUGCUCUUGAGAUUACUUGUCAUGUUCUGAAUUAGAUUCCAAACUAAUCAGUUGCAAUGACCCCAUAUGAGAUAUGGACUAGGCAUAAGCCGAUACUUUCUUACCUUAGGAUUUGAGAGUGUUCAGUUUAUGUCAAACAUUUGC